rnacentral:rRNA from 1 species
AACGCGAAGAACCUUACCAGCCCUUGACAUGGGACGUUCGGGAUCCGGAGACGGAUCCUUUCAGUUCGGCUGGCGUCCACACAGGUGCUGCAUGGCUGUCGUCAGCUCGUGUCGUGAGAUGUUGGGUUAAGUCCCGCAACGAGCGCAACCCUCAUCUUCAGUUGCCAUCGGGUAAAGCUGGGCACUCUGAAGAAACCGCCGGUGACAAGCCGGAGGAAGGCGGGGAUGACGUCAAGUCCUCAUGGCCCUUAUGGGCUGGGCUACACACGUGCUACAAUGGCGGUGACAAUGGGAUGCGAUGGAGCGAUCCGGAGCCAAUCUCAAAAAGCCGUCUCAGUUCAGAUUGCACUCUGCAACUCGAGUGCAUGAAGGUGGAAUCGCUAGUAAUCGUGGAUCAGCAUGCCACGGUGAAUACGUUCCCGGGCCUUGUACACACCGGCUAC